rnacentral:rRNA from 1 species
UACGUAGGGUGCGAGCGUUAAUCGGAAUACUGGGCGUAAAGCGUGCGCAGGCGGUGAUGUAAGACCGAUGUGAAAUCCCCGGGCUUAACCUGGGAACUGCAUUGGUGACUGCAUUGCUGGAGUAUGGCAGAGGGGGGUGGAAUUCCACGUGUAGCAGUGAAAUGCGUAGAGAUGUGGAGGAACACCGAUGGCGAAGGCAGCCCCCCUGGGCUAACACUGACGCUCAUGCACGAAAGCGUGGGGAGCAAACAGG